GAUUUCUGGCACGGUGUGCCUGGCCCGCGCCGUUAGGUUGUGAGUGCCGGGUUGCGCCUGCCAUCCUUCUAGACAGCGGCUCUACCCCUCACGGGGCCGGAGUUUGCCAUCUAGAUCUUUUACUUUGAAAAAAUUAGAGUGUUUCAAGCAGGCUUUAUGCUAUGAAUACAUUAGCAUGGAAUAAUAAUUUAGGACUUCGGUUCUAUUUUGUUGGUUUCUAGGACUGAAGUAAUGAUUGAUAGGGAUAGUUGGGGGUGCUAGUAUUCAGCGGCCAGAGGUGAAAUUCUCGGAUUCGCUGAAGACUAACUUAUGCGAAAGCAUU
rnacentral:rRNA from 1 species